UGCAUGUUAAAACAUUUUCAUAUAUAUAUAUACUUAAUUAUUUUUCGCGCGUUUGCACACUCCAUUCUGUUACUCGCUGUGAUCCCGGACCUCUAGCCACCGACGGAUCUCUGUCUCCCACUGACUUGAACUGAGGGCGUAACCCAGCCAAGUAUAAUAAACCUCGGAAAUUAAUCCAGACAGGCCUAUCAUUACCAUGCUCCGGAACACAUCCCGUCGAGCACCCUUAU
rnacentral:lncRNA from 1 species